GCUAUUGAUGCAUUAGCGGUCGAUUUAGCGAGUCUAGUGAAGACUCGCCAAAUUGACAGCAGAUCGCUCUCUAGUUGACCCCUGUACUCUACUCCCAAUGAGAAGAGUAAGAUAAGGCAACAGGAGAAU